rnacentral:rRNA from 1 species
UACGUAGGGUGCAAGCGUUGUCCGGAAUUAUUGGGCGUAAAGAGCUCGUAGGCGGUUUGUUGCGUCGGCUGUGAAAUCCCGAGGCUCAACCUCGGGUCUGCAGUCGAUACGAGCAAACUAGAGUGUUGCAGGGGAGACUGGAAUUCCUGGUGUAGCGGUGAAAUGCGCAGAUAUCAGGAGGAACACCGGUGGCGAAGGCGGAUCUCUGGGCCUUACCUGACGCUCAGGCACGAAAGCUAGGGGAGCGAACAGG